rnacentral:rRNA from 1 species
GAUCAACGCUGGCGGCGUGCCUAAUACAUGCAAGUCGAGCGAACGGACGAGAAGCUUGCUUCUCUGAUGUUAGCGGCGGACGGGUGAGUAACACGUGGAUAACCUACCUAUAAGACUGGGAUAACUUCGGGAAACCGGAGCUAAUACCGGAUAAUAUUUUGAACCGCAUGGUUCAAAAGUGAAAGACGGUCUUGCUGUCACUUAUAGAUGGAUCCGCGCUGCAUUAGCUAGUUGGUAAGGUAACGGCUUACCAAGGCAACGAUGCAUAGCCGACCUGAGAGGGUGAUCGGCCACACUGGAACUGAGACACGGUCCAGACUCCUACGGGAGGCAGCAGUAGGGAAUCUUCCGCAAAGGGCGAAAGCCUGACGGAGCAACGCCGCGUGAGUGAUGAAGGUCUUCGGAUCGUAAAACUCUGUUAUUAGGGAAGAACAUAUGUGUAAGUAACUGUGCACAUCUUGACGGUACCUAAUCAGAAAGCCACGGCUAACUACGUG